CUUUUAUCUUGACAUUUUUUUUAUGUAUCUACUAAAGAUAAGGGAGAACCUUUUAUCUUGACUGAAUCGUUGUUUGAGAGAAAACAGAAAGACGAAGGCGAUGAAGAGGAUACAUGAGCGGUCAAGUCAGCGUGAGGUGGAGAAGAUGUGGUGUUUCUGUCGGUGGCGCUGGACCAGCAACAUCAGACAGUGGACUACGGGGAGCUGCCGUGGGUGGUGGCUACAGUUUCCACGAGAGUGGGGUGAGGGUGGCACAUGUGGGGGCGACGACAGCAAGUGGAUCCGCACCGCUGAGGUGCACAACCACUCCGAGAAGAGGAGUGGGAUCGGCGAGAAGAUUGAAGGUGUUGCGGACCCUGUACUCAAUUCCAACAAGAUUAACAAGGCAUCUAUGCUUGACGAGGCCAUUGAGUAUGAGAAGCAGCUAUAUCUCGAAGUACAAGUUAGUAAGCAUGCCUGGAUGCAUGGUUGGAGGAUGAGCUUAGAUUGAGGGAGAUGGUGGUCUCAUCGAGGACGUAUGCAUGUAAGAUCUCUAUGACUAGGGCCCAAUGCUCAGUUAAUUUCUGAGUGAUGGAGUUCGUCGAAUAAAUGUGAACCACAUCAUAUGAAUGGGUGUUAUUCUAGCUUUAGUCGAUGCACAUUGUUCAGUUCAUAUAUGAUUCCAACGGCUUUACUUCCAUAUCACAGGUUUUCCCAAACCAAAUAUUAGUAAUGCCACAUGUAUACGAUUAGUGUCUAUUCAUUUGUUUUGUUUCCACUUCCAUUUUAUUGCCUGCAAGCAACAUUGACCUCAUACAUCUACUACUCAUUGCCUUUGCUAUACGGAUUUAUAUAAAAAACGAAAUUUAGCUUGCCAUGUAUGUGAACACUUCUGUUACAAGGGCUCUCCAGGCUUAUGAUCUUUCCAGGAUAAUUGAUUGUUGAAUCUGAAGGUAUAUAAUCAGUUUGUUAACUCAUGUAUCUUUAUGCAUUUUUGUUCAUCCUCAAAAUAUUGUUGCUUACUUUCCUUGUCCUACAUUUUUUAGGUUGCUGAGGAGGUUCAGUUCUUGUAGGCUGGGUAAAACUUGAGUUGCCUACAAAUGAUUUUGCCCGUUUGUUGAAGAUUUUUCUGGGCUUGUGCAUGGCGAGCCCGAUGGGCUGCUUAUGAGCAGUUUGCACUGUAUGAACUUUGUAUGAGAGGCUAAGAUAGGCAUGGUGACAUGGAUCAUGGUACUUGGUUUUGCUAGAUUUCAUGUGUCUAUCCAUCUAUACUAUCUCCAACAAUGCAUAUUUUUCCCAUGUAUCUCUCAUUCUUCCAUGUAGCUAGAGACUUAGAAUAACCAACGGAACUUUCUCAAUUUUGUGUUUUCGCUCUUCUCAGAUUUUAGGCUGGGUGUAUAGAGAUGUGCGGCACACACUGAAUUUAGAUUUCACUUGGAAUAUAUCAUUGUGCCAUGUUCAAAAUUAGAACUACAUAGAAGAAUGAAAUUUUGUGAUUGGGCUGCUGUUGUGUUUCUUUUUAAAUAAAUGGCAUGCUAACUUGCUGGUUUAAUUUAGGUGUGUAAGAUAGUGUCUCCUCUCCGUUGCAACAAUCAACUUUCUCAGGUUUGUCCAGUGGUUUGAUGCAGCUGAACCAUAGAAGCAACCAAUAGCUAUUCUGAAUAAUUAUGACUGUUCUCAGCUAAACCACACCUGUACUAGCUAAACCAAGGAAGCAACUUAUGAUCAAACCUGACAAUGGUUAGCAUGA